UGGGGAAUAUUGGACAAUGGGGGCAACCCUGAUCCAGCAAUGCCGCGUGUGUGAAGAAGGCCUUCGGGUUGUAAAGCACUUUAGGUUGGGAGGAAGGUAUAGAGUUUAAGAGACACUAUGCUUGACUGUACCGACAGAAUAAGCACCGGCUAACUCUGUGCCAGCAGCCGCGGUAAUACAGAGGGUGCGAGCGUUAAUCGGAGUUACUGGGCGUAAAGGGCGCGUAGGCGGUUAGUUAAGAUUGAUGUGAAAUCCCUGGGCUUAACCUAGGAACUGCAUCGAUGACUGGUUAGCUGGAGUACUGUAGAGGGUAGUGGAAUUUCCGGUGUAGCGGUGAAAUGCGUAGAGAUCGGAAGGAACACCAGUGGCGAAGGCGGCUACCUGGACAGAUACUGACGCUGAGGCGCGAGAGCGUGGGGAGCAAACAGG
rnacentral:rRNA from 1 species